CCUACGGGAGGCAGCAGUGAGGAAUAUUGGUCAAUGGCCGUAAGGCUGAACCAGCCAAGUCGCGUGAAGGAAGAAGGAUCUAUGGUUUGUAAACUUCUUUUAUAGGGGAAUAAAGGUAUCCACGUGUGGAUAUUUGCAUGUACCCUAUGAAUAAGCAUCGGCUAACUCCGUGCCAGCAGCCGCGGUACUAAGGAGGAUGCGAGCGUUAGCCGGUUUUCUUGGGUGUAAAGGGUGCGUAGGUGGGUGUUUAAGUCAGCGGUGAAAGUGUGUGGCUCAACCAUAAAAUUGCCGUUGAAACUGGAAGACUUGAGUGUGGUUGAGGUAGGUGGAAUGCGUGGUGUAGCGGUGAAAUGCAUAGAUAUCACGCAGAACUCCGAUUGCGAAGGCAGCUUACUAAGCCAUAACUGACACUGAGGCACGAAAGCGUGGGGAUCAAACAGGAUUAGAUACCCUUGUAGUC
rnacentral:rRNA from 1 species